CUCCUCCCAAGGACACCUGGAGAAGCCUUGGAGCAGUUUUCGGCACCAUGCUCGCUCCGGCGCCUGGACGCCCUGGUGUUGGCGCUUCCAGAGGACGGGUCGGUUCCCUGUCCCACUCGCUCUCCCGGACUGUCCCUUCCAUUUGAGUGUGUUCGGUGAAGACAGCUUGUCUCCCCUGCUCUGAGCCCCUGGUCUCCUUCCUUCUUGGGCCUAACACCGCUGACACGAAGGAAGAGGAGCUGACGGAGGAGAAGGAGAGAGGAAGGAGGAGGCUAGCCUGAACCGUGUGGACCUGAAAAGGGCAGGAAUAAGACUUGCUGGGAGCAUCGACAAUUUGGGAUGACUGCACUACUUGGUAGAAAUUGUGUUUCACAGAAUUUGCCGUAGGUGAAACAGAAGAAAGAUUUUCUCUCACAUGAAGAACUCUGGAGGUAGACUGCCUGAGUGCUGGUUUGGUGGUGUCUUGGCAUCACAAAGUACCCAAUGUCUUCUCUUUCUACUCCAACUAAGUGCUAAGAAUUUAGCACUGGUUUCCUUCUUCAACCUGCAUCAUGAUCCAAGAUUCCUGCUCCAAGUACAAAGAUCCAUGGCCUGUGGUAUAAGAAAAACAUACAGGGGCGCCUGGGUGGCUCAGUCGGUUGAGCGUCCGACUUUCGCUCAGGUCAUGAUCUCACAGUCCGUGGGUUUGAGCCCCGCGUCAGGCUCUGUGC